rnacentral:rRNA from 1 species
UACGUAGGGAGCAAGCGUUGUCCGGAUUUAUUGGACGUAAAGAGCUCGUAGGUGGCUUGGCAAGUCAGGUGUGAAAAACUCCAGGCUCAACCUGGAGACGCCAUUUGAUACUGCCAUGGCUUGAGUUCGGUAGGGGACCACGGAAUUCCUGGUGUAGCGGUGAAAUGCGCAGAUAUCAGGAGGAACACCGAUGGCGAAGGCAGUGGUCUGGGCCGAUACUGACGUGAGGAGCGAAAGCGUGGGGAGCGAACAGG